rnacentral:rRNA from 1 species
CCUACGGGUGGCAGCAGUGAGGAAUAUUGGUCAAUGGGCGUAAGCCUGAACCAGCCAAGUCGCGUGAGGGAUGAAGGUUCUAUGGAUCGUAAACCUCUUUUAUAAGGGGAUAAAGUGCGGGACGUGUCGCGUUUUGUCUGUACCUUAUGAAUAAGGAUCGGCUAACUCCGUGCCAGCAGCCGCGGUAAUACGGAGGAUGCGAGCGUUAUCCGGAUUUAUUGGGUUUAAAGGGUGCGUAGGCGGCCUUUUAAGUCAGCGGGGAAAGUUUGGGGCUCAACCAUAGAAGUGCCGUUGAAACUGGGAGGCUUGAGUAUGUUCGAGGCAGGCGGAAUGAGUGGAGUAGCGGUGAAAUGCUUAGAUAUCACGCAGAACCCCGAUAGCGAAGGCAGCCUGCCAAGCCAUGACUGACGCUGAUGCACGAGAGCGUGGGGAUCAAACAGGAUUAGAUACCUUGGUAGUC